AUAUUAUGAAUGAUAAUUUCAAUAGCUGAUGAGCACCAUGCCUUUGAGCCUCCAAUGAUCAUCAUACUAAUGGACCCAUUAUCACCCAACUUAAUGAGAGGCUAUGAUUUUGUAAUCACCAUAACUAUUUUAUUUUAGAGACCUAAUAAUUUAGAAGAUUUAAUUUGAGAAUUAAAAGAAAAAGAAGAGAUCAAUCAGUAGACCAUAAUCCUCCCACUGACUUCAUCAAGUCAUUGAAUCAGAUUAGGAUCAUGCUAAUUGAAAUGGCACCA
rnacentral:lncRNA from 1 species